GAUUUCCGACCCAAAAACUGUCUCCUCCACUCCAAUAACUACAUUUAUUUAUAGUUACCGGUGAAAGGUUUAAUUAUUAGUGUCUUUUUGCUAUAGAUAAGUGUCUGAAAGCAGUAAAUACAAUGGUGAAUACGAUAAUCUGGCAAUGCUGGGUCAUUUAACAAGUAAGAAUAUUAGAAAAUUAAAGAAAGAAAAAGGAAGAAAGAGAAUGAUAGGAAGUUAAGAGGAGAAGAAAGAAGAAAAAAAUAAUGUAACACCGCCUCGCCUCAGGGAAAACAAAGGCGCCUCACGAUCCGCAACGUUCGCCAUGAAAAUGAGGGGAAAAAAAAGUGAAUUUCCCGGAUUUUGGAGAUUUGUGAGCAUGAUACGCGUGCUUGAAGAAAAUAAAAAUACAAAAAACGAAUAAAAGUCCUCCAUGUAAUUUCUUUCUUCAGGGAUAUUGUGCCUUAAGUACGAAUAUUAGUUUUUUUGUAUAUUUAAUUAAUUUCCUACUUUUGUUUCCUUUAAUCAGUUUCUUGGUUACAUAUAAAGUCAAAUUACCUUGUCACUCUUUUUUCUUUUUAUUUCCCUUACAUUAACUAUCAAUCAAUCAAUCCUUUUUUUUUUUAGUUCAUUUUAGUAUUUAGUUUUAGAUUUGUAAAUAAGUUAAGAAGAAAUAAAUAUAUAUAACAUUAUACAUACAAUUUCUCUUCCCAAGGACCGUGACAAGAGAAAGCUUUCCUAUAAACGUAUGAGAGAUGAAGGUCUGUGGAGUUCCAUUGCAUCGAUCAUGUAUAAGCAAAUGGCUCUCUAUAUUGCAAGGAGUUAUUGCAUUAUGAAGAGCGCCUGAGCGAGUUACCUGGUAGUGCGUGUAUACCUGAGUGACUGAUGACAUGUAGCUUUUACCUGUACUGAUGCAUUAUUUCAGGUAAAGGAGGGAAGGAAGAGUUAGGGAUCGAGAGGAAUGGAAUAGGAAGAGAAUAUAUAAAUUGAGUUACCUUGCAGUGCGUGUAUACCUGAUUGAGUGGCUGAUUACGUAGCUAUACCUGUACUGAUGCAUUAUUUAAGGUGAGGUUAAUUAAGGUUAUUUCAGGUAAAGGAGGGAAGGAAGAGUUAGGGAUCGAGAGGAAUGGAAUAGGAAGAGUAUAUAUUAAUUGAGUUACCUUGUAGUGAUAUACCUGAGUGACUAAUGAUCAACGUACCUAUUACCUGUACUGAUGCGCGUUAUUUGAGGUACGGUACAUCAGGUAGAUAUAAUGAUAAUUCUGACUAACUAAAGAUGAACUAAUGCAGAUAUAAUUCGCUUGCUAUUAUUAUCAUUAUUAUUAUUAUUAUUAGUUAUUAUUAUUAUUUAGGGGGAAAGGAUGAGUGACUUUUUUAUUUUAUUUCCGUAGCAAUUAACAAAGAUUAGAUGUGUCUUUUUAUUAUUUACUGUACUAUAGUUAAUGUUAUAUAUAUUCAUGAUUAUUUUGGUUAUUAUUUUAUUUAUUCAUGGAACAAUUAAUUAGCAGUGUCGAUGAAGCGUAUUUCGUUAUUUUUCUUCUUCAUUUUACUGUAUUUAUUAUUUAUUUAUGAAAGUUUUAUGUACUUUGCUAUUUGAGAACUCUCCUUCCUCAUAGUCCACUUUUUUUUCGUGGUCCACUUAGCUCUCUCUCUCUCUCUCUCUCUCUCUCUCUCUCUCUCUCUCUCUCUCUCUCUCUCUC